CCCUGCCAUUUGUACACACCGCCCGUCGCUACUACCGAUUGAAUGGCUAAGUGAGGCUUUCGGACUGGCCUAGGGAGGGUGGCAACACUCACCCAGGGCCGGAAAGUUGUCCAAACUUGGUCAUUUAG
rnacentral:rRNA from 1 species